AAUAACUGAAAUUGCCACAUACCACCAUGCACAUGUCCCUAGUUCACCACAUGCUGCCACUAGAGAAUCGCAUGUCAACUCAUGCUCGGCUAUCAGAACCAACACGGGUCACAAGAACCACCCAUGUGCUACCAUGCUUUGGCCAGAAAUCAUCACAGAACGAGUCGCGCACGUAAAUCUCGCUCCAAUAUGGGAAAAUCGCACCAGAGAAAGGUGUGGAUACGUGGACCAGUGCCUAGCCAAUGAUGCGGUUCUCCUUCUUCUCUUCACGCACAGUCACGUGUUCUCUCUCUCUGGCCUUCUAGUUAUGGGCCUCUCUAUCGUACCCCAUGUCGCACGCACCAAAUCGGCUUCCUGCCGAUCUGGUCUGUUCCCUCCCACUCUCUCUCUCUACUCGUUUGACUCUAUUUCUCUUUAAUCUUCCUGAUUUCUUCUCUUUAUUUUUAAUGGGAAGGAGGAUAGAGAGCCCUGCAUGCCUCUUCUUCCUUCUUCUUUGGUGUGCAGGUCCAGGCUUUUUCUUCUUCUUCUUCUUCUUUUGCUACCAGAGAC
rnacentral:lncRNA from 1 species